GAUGAACGCUGGCUGCAGGCUUAACAUAUGCAAGUCGAACGAGAUCUUCGGAUCUAGUGGCAGACGGGUGAGGAACACGUGGGAACAUCCCUUUCAGUUCGGAAUAACGUUGGGAAACUAACGCUAAUAACGGAUACGUCCUUCGGGAGAUAGAUUUAUCGCUGAAAGAUUGGCCCGCGUCUGAUUAGCUAGUUGGUGAGGUAACGGCUCACCAAGGCUACGAUCAGUAGCUGAUCUGAGAGUAUUAUCAGCCACAUUGGGACUGAGACACGUCCCAAACUCCUACGGGUGGCAGCAGUGGGGAAUAUUGGACAAUGGGCGCAAGCCUGAUCCAGCCAUGCCGCGUGAGUGAUGACGGCCUUCGGGUUGUAAAGCUCUUUUGUCCGGGAAGAUAAUGACUGUACCGGAAGAAUAAGCCCCGGCAAACUUCGUGCCAGCAGCCGCAGUAA
rnacentral:rRNA from 1 species